UAGGGAAUCUUCCGCAAUGGGCGAAAGCCUGACGGAGCAACGCCGCGUGAGUGAUGAAGGUCUUCGGAUCGUAAAACUCUGUUAUUAGGGAAGAACAAAUGUGUAAGUAACUAUGCACGUCUUGACGGUACCUAAUCAGAAAGCCACGGCUAACUACGUGCCAGCAGCCGCGGUAAUACGUAGGUGGCAAGCGUUAUCCGGAAUUAUUGGGCGUAAAGCGCGCGUAGGCGGUUUUUUAAGUCUGAUGUGAAAGCCCACGGCUCAACCGUGGAGGGUCAUUGGAAACUCGAAAACUUGAGUGCAGAAGAGGAAAGUGGAAUUCCAUGUGUAGCGGUGAAAUGCGCAGAGAUAUGGAGGAACACCAGUGGCGAAGGCGACUUUCUGGUCUGUAACUGACGCUGAUGUGCGAAAGCGUGGGGAUCAAACAGG
rnacentral:rRNA from 1 species